AAGGAAAGUGAAUUAUACUAAACAAAAGAUUAUGUUAAAAUUCGGAUUCUUAAAAAUCUUCUAGGGAAAAAAAAGCAAAAUGGAAUAUGGAUUCGAUAAGGAAGGAAGGAGAGGAGACCCACACACAAGAACAGAGUGACAGACACAAUUUGGCGUCUCUUUCGAUCUGAAACAUCUCUGUCUCUCCUCAGAGAUUCCCUUCUUAGGUCCCA